rnacentral:rRNA from 1 species
UACGUAGGGGGCAAGCGUUGUCCGGAAUCAUUGGGCGUAAAGCGCGUGUAGGCGGCUUUGCAAGUCGGAUGUGAAAGCCCUCGGCUCAACCGAGGAAGUGCGUUCGAAACUGCAGAGCUUGAGUACCGGAGAGGGUGGCGGAAUUCCCCAAGUAGAGGUGGAAUUCGUAGAUAUGGGGAGGAACACCGGUGGCGAAGGCGGCCACCUGGACGGUCACUGACGCUGAGACGCGAAAGCGUGGGUAGCAAACAGG